AGGUUACUGCUAUCGGUGUUCGCCUAAGCCAUGCGAGUCAUAUGUUCGUAAGAACAUGGCGUACUGCUCAGUAACACGUGGAUAACCUGCCCUUGGGUCCGGCAUAACCCCGGGAAACUGGGGAUAAUUCCGGAUAACGCACAUAUGCUGGAAUGCUUUAUGCGUAAAAUGGAUUCGUCUGCCCAAGGAUGGGUCUGCGGCCUAUCAGGUAGUAGUGGGUGUAAUGUACCUACUAGCCUACGACGGGUACGGGUUGUGAGAGCAAGAGCCCGGAUAUGGAUUCUGAGACAUGAAUCCAGGCCCUACGGGGCGCAGCAGGCGCGAAAACUUUACAAUGCGGGAAACCGUGAUAAGGGGACACCGAGUGCCAGCAUCCUAUGCUGGCUGUCCGGGUGUGUAAAAUACACCUGUUAGCAAGGGCCGGGCAAGACCGGUGCCAGCCGCCGCGGUAACACCGGCGGCCCGAGUGGUGAUCGUGAUUAUUGGGUCUAAAGGGUCCGUAGCCGGUCUGGUCAGUCCUCCGGGAAAUCUGACAGCUUAACUGUUAGGCUUUCGGAGGAUACUGCCAGACUUGGAACCGGGAGAGGUAAGAGGUACUACAGGGGUAGGAGUGAAAUCUUGUAAUCCCUGUGGGACCACCUGUGGCGAAGGCGUCUUACCAGAACGGGUUCGACGGUGAGGGACGAAAGCUGGGGGCACGAACCGGAUUAGAUACCCGGGUAGUCCCAGCCGUAAACGAUGCUCGCUAGGUGUCAGGCAUGGCGCGACCGUGUCUGGUGCCGCAGGGAAGCCGUGAAGCGAGCCACCUGGGAAGUACGGCCGCAAGGCUGAAACUUAA
rnacentral:rRNA from 1 species